CGGACGGGGGAGUAAUGUCUGGGAAACUGCCUGAUGAGGGGGAUAACUACUGGAAACGGUAGCUAAUACCGCAUAACGUCGCAAGACCAAAGAGGGGGACCUUAGGGCCUCUUGCCAUCGGAUGUGCCCAGAUGGGAUUAGCUAGUAGGUGGGGUAACGGCUCACCUAGGCGACGAUCCCUAGCUGGUCUGAGAGGAUGACCAGCCACACUGGAACUGAGACACGGUCCAG
rnacentral:rRNA from 1 species